CUCAAAUCUAUAGACUAAAGAAAAAAGCACACACAGUAUGUGUUCUUCGAUAAGAGAAGCUAAGGAAAGGCUCAAUGAAGAUCAUCAAAUUAUAGCCCUAGAUUUAAAGAAAACAACCUCUUCUCAUCUUAUUAUCUUCGUUAGUGACAGGAAUUCCUAAAUCUUCAUUUUUGUGGGAGAUCUGAUAAGGAGCAUAAACGAUUUGGGCAUUUCAGUGGUUCAGAAAUCGGAUUUUUCAUCUUCCUUCCCUUCUGCACACUUAUAAAUGCCAAUUCUCCUUAUUUUUGGAUUUUUCAUCUUCCUUCCCUUCCACACACUUUGCAUCAAUCCUCAGGUAGCACCUUACAACCCUGCUGUUACUCCUACAAGUUCUAUCGAGUUUAGAGGAGGAAACGAUGAGACGGGCUAUAGUCUCAAAACAUCAAUUGAGCUGCUCAAAGUUUUGAACAGAAUCUGGAGCCUCGAAGAAUUACACGCAGCUAACAUAACCCUGGUUCGGGAUUUGAAACGCGAACUAGAACUGGCCCGUUCAAAGAUCAAAGAACUGGCCCGUGACCGCCACGAGAUGGAACACUUGAUGAGGCAACUAACCAAAGAUAAACAAGGUCAUGCCACUGCCGCUAUUCAAUCUGUCCGGGACGAGCUUGAAGACGAAAGGAAAUUACGAAAAUGGUCAGAGGCACUUCACCGGAAACCGGCGCAGGAGCUUUACGAGACGAAAACGAACCUCGUGAAUCCUAUAAAAGACUUGGAAAAAGAGUGGAGAUCCAGGGUACUUUUGGAAGAUCUAUGUGACGAGUUUGCAUGGGGGAUAAAAAACUAUGAACACGAAUUGCACUCGUUGAAGCAUGUAAAUCCUGAUAAAGGUAACGGUUCAAGCUAUAGAUCGACCCGAGAUGGAAUGAUUCUUCAUAUAUCAGAAUCUUGGCUAGACGAACGAAUGCAAAUGAAACAAGACACGACAUCAACAAAGGAAUCCAUAGUUGAAAAGUUAAGCUCGGAACUUUUGUCGGGUUGAAACGGUUCCGGGUUGGUUCGGGUUGAGUAUGGGUCAAAGGUGUACGAACCGAUCACCGAGUUGCUUUCAAAGGAUAAUCCCGCCAAAUACAGACGCACAAGAGUGAAAGAUGUCAUAUAAGAUGUGUUUUAGGAAUGAUAGACGUUUGUAAAACCGAAACUAUAGUUCACUACAGCGUACACAAUAGUUAUAUCAUGUUUCAUAUGGCACAUGCUGAAAAAAGAUGGUUGUAUUGUUAUCCAGGAAGGCAGCAACGAUUACAAACCGCUAGACAUAAACCGCUAGACACGGAAAGAUGCACUCAUUCCACAAAAAGUACAUAUUAAUUAGAGACAAAGAGGGGCGUUCUAAAACUCACCACAACACCACGUAAAACCAAAGACAAAGUAAAGAGAUGCAUAGAUAUGUUCCUAGACAACGAAUACUACUAGGUAUUCCAUGUUUAUUAUUGGAAUAAUAACUUUAUUAUUUU